UGUGACGUUAGGAUAUUAGGGUCAGAAUAGAAGAUUCAAAAUUUAAUAAAUAAAUUUUAAAAUUCUUUUUAAACUUGUUCACAACAACUGGGACUGUGAAAUAUAGUUCGAUACAUCGAUUAUAAAUAUUGCAGUGCAAUAGAUUUGGUCCUUCUUCAGUUACAUCACGUCCGCAGGACACUGAACAGAGACUGGGACAGCGACUACAGGAAGGAAGGAAGCCUACAUGCUGCUGAUGCCUCGGAAAACUGUUGCAAAGCCACCGCAAAAUAAAUGACCAAAAGGAAGUGCCACCAACACCAAGCAAAAAUACCGAGCAAGGACACCGCCAGAGUGAAAGGAGUGAGUUAACGAAAGAGAAAGAGAGAGUAGGAGAAAGGAAGCUAAAGUGUAAGGGGAUGCAGCACAUUUUUAAACUGCAGCCAAACCACAUUCUCAUUUGCAUUCUAAGCACAAAAAAAAAUCCCACCAAGUGAAAGCGAAAAAUGAAAUUCUCCUUGAAAUUUCCAAACAUUUUUAUUUUUUUUUAUUUUUUUUGUGCUACGGAAAGU